UCGAUUCCUCGAAGCAGAUCGAUCCAAGAUCGACGAAUCCUAAUCGAAAUCAGCAUAAUUUUACUCUUGCUUCUUGCAAUUAAGUCGUUUGUCGUGUUCUAAAGAAUUAUUGGUGUGGUGUUCAAGCUUGUAGUUGGACCAAGAAUUAAACAAAAAGCAAGUUCCAAAAUGGCGAACAGAGGAUGGAAGUUCACCCGCUGCUUAGAAUAUAUUGUUAGGCCAGCGAAAAUCUAUCCCACUUAGUGGUUAUUUUCGCUGGCUUUCGGCGAUAUGAUGACUACUUUUUAGAGAAGUCUUUGAGUUCAGUGAUUUUGUCCAAGAUGUUGUUUAAUAAAAGUAAAACAUUCUGUGUA